rnacentral:tRNA from 1 species
GGGCCUUUAGCUCAGCUGGUAGAGCGUACGGCUGUUAACCGUGAGGUCGAAGGUUCGAGUCCUUCUAGGCCCACCA